UACGGAGGGGGCAAGCGUUAUUCGGAAUUAUUGGGCGUAAAGGGCGCGUAGGCGGCUAGAUGUGUCAAAGGUGAAAUCCCUCGGCUCAACUGAGGAACUGCCUUUGAAACUGUCUGGCUUGAGGCCGGGAGAGGGUAGCGGAAUUCCCAGUGUAGCGGUGAAAUGCGUAGAUAUUGGGAGGAACACCAGUGGCGAAGGCGGCUUCCUGGACCGGUUCUGACGCUGAGGCGCGAAAGCGUGGGUAGCAAACAGG
rnacentral:rRNA from 1 species